UACGUAGGGUGCAAGCGUUGUCCGGAAUUAUUGGGCGUAAAGAGCUCGUAGGCGGUCUGUCGCGUCGGCUGUGAAAACCCGGAGCUCAACUCCGGGCCUGCAGUCGAUACGGGCAGACUAGAGUUCGGUAGGGGAGACUGGAAUUCCUGGUGUAGCGGUGAAAUGCGCAGAUAUCAGGAAGAACACCCGUGGCGAAAGCGGCUCUCUGGAACGGUACUGACGCUGAGACGCGAAAGCGUGGGGAGCGAACAGG
rnacentral:rRNA from 1 species